GCGGAAUUAGCUCAGAAGAAGAGCAGGCGCCUUCCAAGCAUCAGGUCACGGUGGCAGAAUCCGUAUUCCGCU
rnacentral:tRNA from 1 species